rnacentral:misc_RNA from 1 species
AACAGUUCCCACUGGUUGGCCAUGGAUAAGCUGUGUAGAUGCCUGUAUAUACGACAUUUCAAAUGUUGUUUGGCAACAGUUUCACCUGCUCCUGAGUUUUUGUUUACAAUUGUGCUCUUGAACUGUAAAUAAUGAGCAUCGUUCGCGGAGAGGAUGUCUCGUUGACGGUGUCAGAGCAAGUUCUGUCAGCUUGCGCUGGGGCUUUAGUAACAUCUCUGUUUGUUACUCCAUUAGAUGUUGUGAAGAUACGACUUCAAGUGCAAGAAAAGGUUGGCCCUGGAAAAAAAUGUUUCCAGCAUUAUAGUUGUUUAUGGGAUAAUUUAUGCUACUGCAUCCAAGAACAUGGAUGCAAACGCUGUGAGUGGUAUAAAACAGAAAGGCAGUUUAAGGGAACUUUGGAUGCAUUUAUGAAAAUAUCCAAGUAUGAAGGCAUAACAUCACUGUGGAGUGGUCUUUCUCCCACUCUAGUGAUGGCCAUACCUGCAACAGUAAUAUAUUUUACCAUGUAUGAACAGAUCCGUGAUAAUACAAUGAAAACUCUGGUUCCACCAUUGCAUCCUUACUGGGUUCCUAUGAUGUCUGGAAUUAGUGCAAGAGUUCUGACUGUUACAGCUAUAAGUCCUAUAGAAUUUUUACGCACUAAAUUGCAGUCAGAAAGGGUAAAAUAUUCAGAUGUAUAUAAAAGUUUAGUACAGCUAGUAAAGCAGAGAGGUUUAAUAUCUCUGUGGCAUGGAUGGGUUCCAACACUUCUGAGAGAUGUACCUUUUUCUGCUAUAUAUUGGUCAAUAUAUGAGCACCUGAAGUUAUUGAAACCAGAGCCUAGUUUCACGCAUUCAUUUGUAUUUGGAGCACUUUCUGGAACUGUAGCUGCUGCUUUUACUACUCCAUUUGAUGUAAUAAAAACACAUCGUCAGGCUCAGCUUGGGGAAGCUGCGCUUUUGCACAAAGCUGUAAAGACUAGCACCUUUUCACUGAUUAUGACCCUAUAUAGACAAGGGAAAACAAAAUCACUCUUAGCAGAUAAAGUAAGAAAAGGUAGGAGCUAUGUGCGACAUAUUACUCCCAGACCCUCUGACUGAAGUACCUGCAUUUUAAUUGUAAGCCAUGCCAUGCUUUUGUCAAUCAGCCGAUCCAAAUAAUGUAUUUACAAAUGUAGACUUUCCUUUUUUAGAGGUGUUUACUUCCCCGAAUAAUGAAAGUAGCUCCAUCGUGUGCCAUAAUGAUUUCUUCUUAUGAGUUUGGAAAGAGUUACUUCAAAAAGCGAAGAGCAAAAGCAAAAGAUUAACUUCUUUGCAAAUUAUCUUUAGGG